ACAGAUGGCUGGAAUGCUUCUGUAUUCAAAGCUCCGGCGCCUGAGGAUGAGUCUGCGGCCUAUCAGGUUGUAGUCAGGGUCAAGACCUGACUAGCCAGCGACGGGUAUGGGGUGUGAGAGCACUUGCCCAGAGAUGGUUUCUGAGACACGAAACCAGGCCCUACGGGGCGCAGCAGGCGCGAAAACUUCGCAAUGCGGGAAACCGUGACGAGGGAACUCCGAGUGUCUAUGCAUUGCAUAGACUGUUUUUUAGCCUAAAUAGCUAUUAGAGUAAGGGGUGGGCAAGACCGGUGCCAGCCGCCGCGGUAACACCGGCACCCCGAGUGGUAGCCACUAUUAUUGGGCCUAAAGCGUUCGUAGCCGGUUUGGUAAAUUCUUGGGUAAAUCGUACCGCUCAACGGUGCGGAUUCCGGGGACACUACCAGACUUGAGACCGGGGGAGAUCAGAGGUACUUGCGGGGGAGCGGUGAAAUGUUGUAAUCCCGCAGGGACCACCAGUGGCGAAGGCGUCUGAUCAGAACGGCUCUGACGGUGAGGAACGAAACCCUGGGGCGCAAACGGGAUUAGAUACCCCGGUAGUCCAGGGCGUAAACGCUGCUGACUUGGUGUUGGGGAUCCUACGAGGAUGUCCAGUGCUGGCGCGAAGGUAUUAAGUCAGCCGCCUGGGGAGUACGGUCGCAAGACUGAAACUUAAAGGAAUUGGCGGGGGAGCACUGCAACGUGUGGAGCGUGCGGUUUAAUUGGACUCAACGCCGGGA
rnacentral:rRNA from 1 species